rnacentral:rRNA from 1 species
UAAUACGGAGGGAGCUAGCGUUGUUCGGAAUUACUGGGCGUAAAGAGUACGUAGGCGGUUAUUCAAGUCAGAGGUGAAAGCCUGGAGCUCAACUCCAGAACUGCCUUUGAAACUAGAUAACUUGAAUCACGGAGAGGUUAGUGGAAUUCCGAGUGUAGAGGUGAAAUUCGUAGAUAUUCGGAAGAACACCAGUGGCGAAGGCGACUAACUGGACGUGUAUUGACGCUGAGGUACGAAAGCGUGGGGAGCAAACAGGAUUAGAUACCCUGGUAGUCCACGCCGUAAACGAUGAUAACUAGUUGUUCGGUCUCUCAGAGACUGAGUGACGCAGCUAACGCAUUAAGUUAUCCGCCUGGGGAGUACGGUCGCAAGAUUA